UUAUACAGAUUUUUUCGGUUUUCGUGUGGUUGCGAAUUAAACUUUUUGAUAUAGUUGAAAAACGAAAAUGAACUCAAAUGCUGUUGAGCGUGUUCAAGGUUUUGUUACAUCAAUAUGUUACGCGUAAGCGCAAUAAUGAAUCGCCGGAUAUAUGUUAAACAAACUAUACUGCGUUUUUUUUCUAUAUAGAAAUAUGUCCAGUACAUAUGCAAAUUUUUAUACAGAUUUUUUGAAAAUUCACCAAGGUGACAAGAUUUUCUGCGAUUCGAAAUACAGAUGAAAAUGUGGCAUCAUUGGCCAUAUCAACAUGUGUUUGUUUACCUGUUCCAGUCGGAAAAAAGUUGACGAAGUCUGUGAAGCUUUUACUGCACAAAUAACGUGAGAAUGAAAAGGGCUAGCAGCGAUGCAAAACAAAAACUUACAACGGACAUCACCGAUGGAGUUAAAAUUAUUCCAGCUUGUGAUGAAAUUGCAGUUUCCCUCCCCAGCAACUGGGACAGUUCGGGAAUGCGCUGUGAAGUCUACAACAAGGAAUUGAGCUCAAAACAGACUCAUAGGAUGUUCAAGUGUGAUAUAUGAAAGCAAUAUUUUUCUUUAAGAAAUUUCUCUGCCCACAUGAAUAUACACCGUACAAGCUGUCCUCAUCAAUGUUUGAUCUGCGAUGAAACAUUCGCAAGUAAUCGCAAUCUAGUAGACCAUGUGCGCACUCACAUCGAUGCGACACCCUCCAAAUGCGACAUCGGUGCUCUAAAGAAUCGAACGAAUAUCCACAAAAACGAGCCAUCCCCAGGAUGCACCAACACAGAAGGUUUGGAAUCAAACUAGUUCCUUCGAAUGCAACCUCCCAAAUGUAACAUCAGUGACGCAUCAUUUAAGCACCGUGAUGUUCUAAAGAACCAAACGAAUAUCCAUAAGAACAAGCCAUC